UCCUACGGGAGGCAGCAGUGAGGAAUAUUGGUCAAUGGCCGAGAGGCUGAACCAGCCAAGUCGCGUGAGGGAUGACGGCCCUACGGGUUGUAAACCUCUUUUGUCGGGGAGCAAGACCCGCCACGAGUGGCGGAGCGAGAGUACCCGAAGAAAAAGCAUCGGCUAACUCCGUGCCAGCAGCCGCGGUAAUACGGAGGAUGCGAGCGUUAUCCGGAUUUAUUGGGUUUAAAGGGUGCGUAGGCGGAAUAUCAAGUCAGCGGUAAAAAUUCGGGGCUCAACCCCGUCGUGCCGUUGAAACUGAUUUU
rnacentral:rRNA from 1 species